rnacentral:tRNA from 1 species
GGAUGUAGCUUAGUGGUGGAGAGCUUGCCUCAUAAGCAUGAGACCCUGGGUUCAAUCCCCAGUACUA